GGCUGCCUGGCGAAAUGGUAUCGCGUCACUUUCCGGUACUACCAUUCCUGGAGCAUGGUGAAGAUUGCGGGUUCGAGUCCCGUGGUGGUCG